rnacentral:rRNA from 1 species
AGCGAACGCUGGCGGCAGGCUUAACACAUGCAAGUCGAACGGGCGUAGCAAUACGCCAGUGGCAGACGGGUGAGUAACGCGUGGGAACGUACCUUUUGGUUCGGAACAACCCAGGGAAACUUGGGCUAAUACCGGGAUAAGCCCGUUACGGGGAAAGAUUUAUCGCCGAAAGAUCGGCCCGCGUCUGAUUAGCUAGUUGGUGUGGUAACGGCGCACCAAGGCGACGAUCAGUAGCUGGUC